UACAGAGGGGGCAAGCGUUGUUCGGAAUUACUGGGCGUAAAGGGCGCGUAGGCGGCCUGCUAAGUCGAACGUGAAAUCCCUGGGCUCAACCCAGGAACUGCGUCCGAUACUGGUUGGCUUGAAUCCGGGAGAGGGACGUGGAAUUCCAGGUGUAGCGGUGAAACGCGUAGAUAUCUGGAGGAACACCGGUGGCGAAGGCGGCAUCCUGGACCGGUAUUGACGCUGAGGCGCGAAAGCUAGGGGAGCAAACGGG
rnacentral:rRNA from 1 species